rnacentral:rRNA from 1 species
UACGAAGGGUGCAAGCGUUACUCGGAAUUACUGGGCGUAAAGCGUGCGUAGGUGGUUCGUUAAGUCUGUCGUGAAAGCCCCGGGCUCAACCUGGGAAUGGCGAUGGAUACUGGCGGGCUAGAGUGCGGUAGAGGAGAGUGGAAUUCCCGGUGUAGCAGUGAAAUGCGUAGAGAUCGGGAGGAACAUCAGUUGCGAAGGCGGCUCUCUGGACCAGCACUGACACUGAGGCACGAAAGCGUGGGGAGCGAACAGG